rnacentral:rRNA from 1 species
UUGCCAGCCCGCUCAGAACUAAAGGAAUUGACGGGGCCGCACAAGCGGAGGAGCAUGUGGUUUAAUUCGAUGAUACGCGAGGAACCUUACCUGGGCUCGAACGUAAGAUGACUGUAGGUGAAAGCUUACAUCUCUUCGGAGCAUUUUACGAGGUGCUGCAUGGUUGUCGUCAGCUCGUGCCGUGAGGUGUCGGGUUAAGUCCCAUAACGAGCGCAACCCCUACCUUUAGUUGCCAUCAGGUUAAGCUGGGGACUCUAAAGGAACUGCCUACGCAAGUAGUGAGGAAGGCGGGGAUGACGUCAAAUCAGCACGGCCCUUACGUCCAGGGCUACACACGUGCUACAAUGGCCGAUACAGAGGGCAGCUACCUGGUGACAGGAUGCAAAUCUCCAAAGUCGGUCUCAGUUCGGAUCGGAGUCUGCAACCCGACUCCGUGAAGUUGGAUUCGCUAGUAAUCGCGCAUCAGCCAUGGCGCGGUGAAUACGUUCCCGGGCCUU